AGGUAACUCUGGGCAUGGAUAGACUGCCAGGGUCCUUGCUAAGCCCAUUCUUAUCAAAGUUCUGUUUACCACACAUUUACAUUUGUAAGGGAAAUCUCCAUUUGUAAAAGUAUCUCCCUCUCUGUACUGGGAAGAAGGGGAGAGGACCUCAUCUCUAGAAACUUAUCAGUGUGGAAGGUGAGGCCUUAAAUCUGCAUAAUAACCUUACUCUUGUUUACUCUGCUUUUCUGGUAAUCUCUCAUAACUGACUCCCCCACUCCCAACAUCCUUCUUUAUCUUUAGCUGAAGAUGAGAACCUCUGCCAUUUUGUCGAGUUACCCAGUCUUUCCUGGGUCUCUCCCAUGUAUACAUGUUAUAAAGCUUUGUUUGAUUUUCUCCUGUUAUUCCAUCUCAUGUCAAUUUAAUUCAUACCCCAGUGACAAAGAACGCAGAGUGGGUAGAGGACAGUCUUCCUCCCCUGAUUCUGGCGAACUGGACGGGAUAAAAAAUUCACUGGCUGGAUGCUCUUCGCUCCUAGACUACUGCAGCUGAGAGGUCCUGGACCCUGGACAAGAGCCAGCAGGAGGCAAUAGUUCUUACCAUGUCAGUCUCCUGGAUCUCUGCCUACAGGGUCCAGUGGAAGCAAGAGUGGACACAACUGGAAACACUGGUUAUAUUACCAAGGCUUUGACUGGAAUGUCAUAUUUUGAGAGAAACAUACAGACUCAGAUAUGACAAGACAGCUCUUGAGGAAUAAAGGUUGACUUUCUGGAAUAAAGCCACUUGGAAGUACUGGCCUGAUAUCUUGUUUACAGAAGUUCCAAGCAAUCUUACCCAGAAAUGCUUCUUAUUAAAUACCUGACUGCGUGCUGCCACAAUACAGGCCUAACUUUGGGAGCCCACCUGCAUCACCGCCUUCUAAAACAAAUUUAACUGGACUGAUCUAUUAUCGGGACUAAGAAAUGUGUUCAGUGAGAUGGAACAAUCUACCACUCAGCCUCUGGACUGAAACUUCUUUAAGCUUCCAAAGGACUGUGAAACUUCCAGGGAAGUUUCAGAGGAGGUAACUGAUGGGGUUCAGGGCAGCCCGCCCCAAAAUAUGCCACUCUGGUAUGUGGAUUAUUUCGAGCUGAAGACAAUAAAGGCUCAGAAGACUAUGAAAGAAACUUCGAUCUCC